UACCAUCCACCCCCCAUCGGCAACUCCUUCAUCACAAUAACAUUUUCCCCAAAUUGGGAAGGAAAAUAGCUCCAAAUCCAAUCGAGAACUCCCCCUCUCUCUCAUUUCUCUCCUUUCCUCCGGCGGGGUGUUUCGCCGCGACGAAUCUCAGCCUUGCUCUCGCCGCUGGUUGCAACGGAAGGUCCGAAUCGGACAGGGUUCGGCGCCUCCCUCCUUCGGUCACCGCCAUCGGUCUUCGAUCGGUGCUGGGUCCGCGUUGCGGAGAAAAAUCUCCCUUCGUCCCCGAGUUCUCUCUCCCUCGAGGAUUUCCCAGACGGAGGUGCAGCUGUCCCACCUCAGAGGACCUCCGCCGACCACCCUCCGCAUUCGACGUCUCGGCCCUCAUCUGUACGGUGUCGCCCUCGUCGGCCAGAGCUAAGUCCCCUCCUUGUGUCUCUUGUUUUUUUAAAGUUCUAUGCUUUUAAAUUAUUGAUCUGAUUCAACACCGUUUGAGGCGUGUUAAGAAUAGGGCAUCUGAUCUUUGGGGUUUCCAUUUGCUUCAUCAUGUUAGUAUCGUCUAUAGGUUAUUUUGGUGUGUGAUUUCGGUAUAUAGGGUGGCAUCUGCUCCUAUAUUGAAGCAUGUACUCUCUUACGUUUAUGGUUCUUUCUUCUGAUUUCGCCAAUAUGCUAAUCUACUGUCUUAUCAUGUGUUCUAGUGAGGCUGAGGUGUGUGAGAUGAAAGUUUUUCUAUCUUCUUUCAAAUUCUCAUGUCAUCAUAAAUCGUGUUCAUGCUCUGUUUCUAAUAUGCUCGAAAUGAUACUACUAGACUUAAAAUUUGAGCUGAUGGGUGUUACCUUUCCUUGCACCUCUACUGAACUUGCUAUGCUGCUCCCCUCCUCGUCCUUAAUCUCCCUCACUCCUCGACUUGCUGCUCAGUUUGGUGAGUAUAUUGUUAUGUGAUGGAGGGUGAAACCGAGGCAUGAGGUAUUUAUAGGGGUUGUAACUGAAAGCUGCAAGUUUGUUACUAAAUGCCAGAGGAAGGGGGGGGGGUCCUCGGCUGCCCUUUGAAUCUCUGAUUCUUCUUGCAAAGGUGCACGCUCGUACUCGGCACUAAACUGGAUCUCAAUCUCAUUUGUUGCCUUGUUGCAGAGUACUUUGAUGCAUUUAUGAAAUCCUUUCUUUUGGUGGCUGGUGCACUAAAAUGGUUAGGAUUUGGCUGCUGAUAUUCCUGGCAAUGGCUGGUGGAUAAAGGGGGUACGAGCUGAGGCAGGGCUGUUGGGUUGGGGUGGAGUGUACCUGCCAUUGAGCAGUGUACUGGCUGACUCUCCCUCUUUAAACCAAGCCCUUCUCUUCUCCUUGAAAAGGGAGCAAGGGGGGCUCAUUUUCCUCGUGUUAAAGAGGCCCAUAGCUAGUAGUUCCUUGUUGUUAAAUAAUAGAGUUUCUAUUUGUAGUUAUAUGUUGUAAUAUGUACUAAAAGUCUACUUAUAGUUAGCUUAUUUCCUUUAUUUUCAUCGUCAAUAUUUGUAAUGCACGAUUUAAAUUGAAAAUUCUAAAUAUCGUGUUUUGUUUA